UCAAGCAAUUAAGUGCAUACGGUGGAUGCCUUGGCGGUAAGAGGCGAUGAAGGACGUGGUAGUCUGCGAUAAGCUUCGGGGAGCCGACAAACUGGCUUUGAUCCGGAGAUUUCCGAAUGGGGAAACCCACCGCUUUUGCGGUAUCUGCACCUGAACACAUAGGGUGUAGAGGCGAACCUGGCGAACUGAAACAUCUAAGUAGCCAGAGGAAAAGAAAUCAACCGAGAUUCCCUAAGUAGCGGCGAGCGAACGGGGAACAGCCUUUAAGCCUCAUGAGUCCUAGUAGAACGGUCUGGAAAGUCCGGCCAUAGUGGGUGAUAGCCCCGUACAUAAAAGAGCUCUUGAGGUGAAAACGAGUAGGGCGGGACACGUGAUAUCCUGUCUGAACAUGGGGGGACCAUCCUCCAAGGCUAAAUACUCCUUACCGACCGAUAGUGAACCAGUACCGUGAGGGAAAGGCGAAAAGAACCCCGGUUAGGGGAGUGAAAUAGAACCUGAAACCGUAUGCAUACAAGCAGUGGGAGCACUGGCUUUGCCGGUGUGACCGCGUACCUUUUGUAUAAUGGGUCAGCGACUUACUUCUCAGUGGCAAGGUUAACCGUAUAGGGGAGCCGUAGGGAAACCGAGUCUUAAUAGGGCGACUUAGUCUCUGGGAGUAGACCCGAAACCGGACGAUCUAUCCAUGGCCAGGUUGAAGGUGGGGUAAUACCUGCUGGAGGACCGAACCAACUAAUGUUGAAAAAUUAGUGGAUGAGCUGUGGAUCGGAGUGAAAGGCUAAACAAGUCCGGAGAUAGCUGGUUCUCACCGAAAACUAUUUAGGUAGUGCCUCGUGUAUCACUCUCGGGGGUAGAGCACUGUUAUGGCUAGGGGAGCGUCAAGCUUUACCAAACCAUUGCAAACUCCGAAUACCGAGAAGUGGCAGCACGGGAGACAGACUGCGGGAGAUAAGUUUCGUAGUCGAGAGGGAAACAGCCCAGACCGCCAGUUAAGGUCCCCAAGUUACAGCUAAGUGGGAAACGAUGUGGGAAGGCCCAGACAGCCAGGAGGUUGGCUUAGAAGCAGCCACCCUUUAAAGAAAGCGUAAUAGCUCACUGGUCAAGUCGGCCCGCGCGGAAGAUAUAACGGGGCUUAAGCUGUACACCGAAACUGCGGAUGCAUGCUUGCAUGCAUGGUAGGUGAGCGUUCCGUACGCCUGUGAAGGUGUGCCGUAAGGCAUGCUGGAGGUAUCGGAAGUGCGAAUGCUGACAUGAGUAGCGAUAAAGGGGGUGAAAAACCCCCUCGCCGAAAGCCCAAGGUUUCCUGCGCAAUGCUAAUCAGCGCAGGGUGAGUCGGCCCCUAAGACGAGGCCGAAAGGCGUAGUCGAUGGGAAGCAGGUUAAUAUUCCUGCACCAGUCAUGACUGCGAUGGGGUGACGGAGAAGGCUAAAUCAUCCGGGUGUUGGAUAUCCCGGUUUAAGCGUGUAGGAAGUGUUCUUAGGAAAAUCCGGGAACACAAUUCUGAGGCGUGAUGACGAGGACCCAUUUGGGACCGAAGUGGUUGAUGCCAUGCUUCCAGGAAAAACCUCUAAGCAUCAGGUCAUGAGUGACCGUACCCUAAACCGACACAGGUGGGCAGGGCGAGUAGCCCAAGGCGCUUGAGAGAACUCGGGUGAAGGAACUCGGCAAAAUGGCACCGUAACUUCGGGAGAAGGUGUACCCCUUGUAUGUGAAGGUCUUUACGACUGGAGCAGAAGGGGGUUGCAAUAAAGAGGUGGCUGCGACUGUUUAAUAAAAACAUAGCACUCUGCAAACUCGAAAGAGGACGUAUAGGGUGUGACGCCUGCCCGGUGCCGGAAGGUUAAUUGAUGGGGUUAGCUGCUUGCAGCGAAGCUCUUGAUCGAAGCCCCGGUGAACGGCGGCCGUAACUAUAACGGUCCUAAGGUAGCGAAAUUCCUUGUCGGGUAAGUUCCGACCUGCACGAAUGGCGUAACGAUGGCCACACUGUCUCCACCCGGGACUCAGCGAAAUUGAACUCGCUGUGAAGAUG
rnacentral:rRNA from 1 species